rnacentral:rRNA from 1 species
UGGUGGAUGCCUUGGCACCGAGAGGCGAUGAAGGACGUGGCACCCUGCGAUAAGCUUCGGGGAGAUGGGAGCGAUCUUUGAUCCGAAGAUUUCCGAAUGGGGCAACCCACCCCGCGAGGGGUAUCGGCUGCUGAAUCCAUAGGCGGUCGAGGCGAACCCGGCGAAUUGAAACAUCUCAGUAGCCGGAGGAAAGGACAUCAAACGAGACUCCGUUAGUAGUGGCGAGCGAACGCGGACCAGGCCAGUGGCGCAUUUGGAUCAACCGGAACCGUCUGGAAAGUCGGGCCAGAGUGGGUGACAGCCCCGUACGGGUAAAGGUCCUUAUGCGUCCUCGAGUAGGGCGG